rnacentral:rRNA from 1 species
AUUGAACGCUGGCGGCAUGCUUUACACAUGCAAGUCGAACGUGUGGCGCGCGGGUGAGUAAUACAUCGGAACGUGUCGUAUCGCAGGGGAUAACUGAGCGAAAGCUCAGCUAAUACCGCAUACGAUUGGAGCGGCCGCUGCCCGAUUAGCUGGUGGGUGAGGGAAAGGCUCACAAGGGCGACGAUCGGUAGCUGGACUGAGAGGACGACCAGCCAGACUGGGACUGAGACACGGCCCAGACUCCUACGGGAGGCAGCAGUGGGGAAUUUUGGACAAUGGGGGCAAGCCUGAUCCAGCCAUGCCGCGUGAGGGAUGAAGGUCUUCGGAUUGUAAACUGCUUUUGUCAGGGAAGCGGUACCUGAAGAAUAAGCACCGGCUAACUACGUGCCAGCAGCCGCGGUAAUAC